CUCGUCAUCAGAUUCAGUCUUCCUGUGAUUAACUUGUUCAGCGUCAUGCAACUAGUAGGUGAAGAAACCCAAGUUUAGAGGUCUUACCUCUCUAAAUAAUCAUCUGCCUUGGAUCACAACAAGCUGCCUUCAACUCUUUGUUGACAAACAUCUCCUGAGUUUUCUCCUUUGUGACUAAGAAGGAAUGAGCCAUCUCAGGGUCUGAACCCUUUGGAUAAGUUAUAUUGGAGGAGGAAGCCUGAAGGAGAGAUGUCACAAUGCCUGGGAUAACAAGAAGCCCACUAAGGGAUAAAGGAGGAUUCUGUCUUGGUUUAUUUGAGCUGCUGUAACAAAAUACUACAGGUUGGGUAAUGUAUAAACAAUACAAAUUUAUUUAUCUUGGUUCUGGAAGCUGAGAAGUCCAGGAUCAAGACACAGCAGCAUUAGUGACUGGUGAGGGCUGCUCUCUGCUCCCAAGAUGGUGCCUUGUUGCUACAAACUCCAGUGGGGAGGAACACUGUGUCCUCACAUGGCCGAAGGGUAUGAGCAUGCACCUUUCAACCUUUGGCCCUCUCUUAAAGGUGCUAAUUGCAUUCAUGAGGGCAGAGCCCUUGUGACAAUAACUUCCCAAAGCCCAUACCUCUUAAUAUUAUUGUAUUGGGGAUUAAAUUUCAAAGUGAAUUUUGGAAGGGACACCACGAAAUAACAGUAACUCCAAAUAUAAACCAAAGAAAACACCCUCUUCUGGGUGGUAUUUUUAACAUGCCAGUAGCUGAGUGGUUAGAAAUACAACUCAACACUCUGACCCAAGGCUUGAACCCCAGGAAGGAUGAAGUCAUUUAAGAGGGCUGAUCUAAGACAGCACUUGAGGUAAUCAGCCUGUUUUCUGUAAUGGCUGUGUUGACUCCAAAAAGCUGUAAGGCCUGUGUCUGUGACAAUGUCUUGUCACAUAAUAACCACCCCAUCCAAUGUCUGUGGAACAAAAAACUGAAUCAUGGGUGAAUAAAACAGGGGCCUUCUCCCAGUUCAUCAAUUCCACUCCCAGAUGCUGCCAUUACCUACAAUACCAACAAUUCCAGUGCCCAUUCUAGUGAAAACAAAACCAGAGAAAAAUGAAAAUCUAUUGUGCAUGGCAGAGGCUGGGGAAGGAUUUUUGGCACAGCUAUAUCUAGGAACACACCACUAGACUUUUCUUUAACUAAAGACAUGACUGUACCCUAUAUAAUCUCUAACAAGAUAGUUGAGAUCUUUCUGACAGACCUUUCUGACUCCACCAAAAGGAGUUUGAGACCCUUACUUCCAGGAGAAAUGGGGUCAACUAGGUGGAAUGGGACAUUAUUGGCUGGCAUUCAUAAAGUCCAACCUGUUCAUUCCAAUAGAAUGAAAUUGAACGUCUAGCUCUAAGGGAGGAAACCACCCCUCAUAUUGUCUUAUGCCCAAUUUCUGCCUCCAAAGAAAGAAAAAGUGAAAACUAAAAGGCAGAAAUGAAAUCCACAAGCAGACAGCCUGGCACCACACCCUGGGCCUGGUAGUUAAAGAUUGACCCCUGACCUAAUCAGUUAUGCUAUCUAUAGAUUACAGACAUUGUAUAGAAAAGCACUGUGAAAAUCCCUGUCCUGUUUUGUUUCGAUCUAAUUAUCGGUGCCUGCAGCCCCCAGUCAUGUACCCCCUGCUUGCUCAAUCAAUCAUGACCCUCUCACGCGCACCCCCUUAGAGUUGUGAGCCCUUAAAAGGGACAGGAAUUGCUCACUCGGGAAGCUCAGCUCUUGAGACAGGAGUCUUGCCG
rnacentral:lncRNA from 10 species